rnacentral:rRNA from 1 species
UACGAAGGGGACUAGCGUUGUUCGGAAUCACUGGGCGUAAAGCGCACGUAGGCGGAUUUGUAAGUUAGAGGUGAAAGCCCGGGGCUCAACCCCGGAAUUGCCUUUAAGACUGCAUCGCUUGAAUCCAGGAGAGGUGAGUGGAAUUCCGAGUGUAGAGGUGAAAUUCGUAGAUAUUCGGAAGAACACCAGUGGCGAAGGCGGCUCACUGGACUGGUAUUGACGCUGAGGUGCGAAAGCGUGGGGAGCAAACAGG